AAACAUCUUUUUCCAACAAGAAGUCUAUUCCAUAUUGAUGCUAUAGGACCAAGCUACAGUGACCAUGCAAUCAGUUCAAGGAGGCCUAUGUGACCUGGGGUUGAUCAACUAGAAUCCUCAGCAUUCUUCCAGGACUUUGCUGGGACCAGUGGCAGAGACUGGGCUCUCAUCAAACAAGCAAAGUAUCGGUAUUUGUCCCUGUGGAUGCAACACAACUCGAGGUGGCACAGCACCCACUUUUAAAGCCUCAACACCUUCUGCUGAUGGGUCAGGCAGGCAGCCGGCGUGGAGAACGCCACGACUGCGCUGACCUUCAGCGGCCUCGAGGGUAGCCAGGCGACUUUCUUUAUUAAGGGUAGGCUCUUGGUUAAGGGCUUGCUGAUAUGGGAGAAUGUAGCUCUCAGCAAAUCUACAUGAACAGCUGGGAGGAAACCGCUGCUUGGCAGGAGGGGCCAUGGUUUUGUUCUUCUCUUUUGAGAAGAGCAGCCCUGCCAUCCUUCUGUUUGGUAAAAUGGGGAGGAAGAAUUCCUGGCAUGAAGACACAUCAGUCAGCAGACCCCUGACUUCCAAGAAGUAGCAGACACUCCAGCUUCUGAGUGGAUUGGAGAGAUCCCUGGAGAUGAAUUGGAGAUGCACUCGUCUCUGCCGGCCUCCCUGGGCAGGAGGUGUCUGAUUCCCUGGUUAGUCUCCACCUUGAAUUUCUACAGUUCUUCACUUUGGUCUCUAGGGGAAAGAAGCCAGACAGCUGGACUUUCCUGAGCUGGAAUGGCUGUUGCUGAGGCUUUGGCAUCUUCAUUCACAACUUUUCAAGGGCUUGCCCUUUUGACCACUCAGCUUCCCAUUCCUCUCUCAGCCCCAAGAACAGCAGGUGUACAAAGCUGCACGGUUGUCAUUCCCGGGGAGAUUCUUUUCUAUUAGCUGGUGCUGAAGGAACUUGGAAAUGGAUGAGUUUUCCCCCAAACUCCAGGUCCAGCUUGGAUUUCUUCUAGCUUAGAGAUUCAAAUACGUGAGGGCUUAUAACUGGGAACUUUGUGUCUGUGGAGGACAACUGUGAGAAUGUGGAGGCUGUCCAGGGAACAAGUCAGCGUGAACCCAGGACAGAGGGAACAAGCUUCUAACACUGACAACAAAUGAGAUGAGUCCUUCUGCCUAGCCAACUUUAAGGCAGCCACAGCAGCACCUUGCAAGCCUCUACUAAGGCUGGAUCUGAGGCCCUGCCCAGUGCAUGCUUCAGAACUAAAGCACGGAGAUAAGACAGCACUAGAACUGGAUUCCCACCUAGGGUUUUCACUGAAUAAGAGCAAGAAGGGAUCUCAAUGAUUAUCUGUUUUCAACAGCCUUAUUUUACAGAAAAGAAAACAGAGUCCCGGGGAAAUAAGAAAAACAUUAGCAAAUACCUUUGUAUUGCUUACUUUGUGCCCAUUUCUGUUCUAAGCAUUUCCUCAUUUCAUCCUCACAAAAGCCUACAAGGUAGAUAUUGUUAUUAUCUCUGUUUUACAGAUGAAGAAACUGAGACAACAGGGUCUAGUAACUGGCAUAAGAUGGAAAUGAAAUAGUGUCCAACCUCUCAAGCCCUUUGCUAAGUCGCCCUGGCAGUUGAUCGGAGUCUAGAUCCGCAAUCCAUAGUCCAAGCUUUCUGAGCUAUCCUAUCCUUCUAGAUUUGCACUAUCCAAUGUGAAAGCCACUAGUCACCUGCAGCUAUUGAGCGCUUGAAACGUGGCUUGUCCAAAUGGUGAUGUGUUUCAAGGACCUAGAUAAAAAAAAUAAGAAUGUAAAGUAUAUCGUUAAUAUUUUUCAUAUUGAUGACAUGUUGAAGUGGCAAUCUAAU
rnacentral:lncRNA from 10 species